ACUGCCUGCAUCUUCUAGAGCUGCUGUCCCAGCAGACGUGCACACGCACUGCCCUCCCAGCCUCGGUUUCCCUGUUGCAGCCCUGACAUGUUCUGGCUGAGGAUUCAGACUAUCCCCAUUUCCAUAGUUUUCACCAAAAAGCACCUUCUCACUAUAAAAGAAAGACAUAUUCCCUUCAGAAAACACUGAAGAACCUAAUGCAUGAGAAAAUUAAAGUCACCCAUAAUUCUAGCUGCCCCUGGAGAUACACCUAUCAUCUCCGGGUGGGGACCGUCAUGUAAGAAGGAGGAGAGUCAGAAAUUACCAGCCAGCCGAGGUCCUGGAAGCUGACGUAGAGCUCGUGCCGCCGGCAAACCUGCCGGCCGUCGGUGCCAUGAACGUCAUCUGCAGGGACAGAAGCCAGGUCUGUUCUGGGGUUCCUGCUCUGGGCAGCUUCCACAGGGAGCUCCCAGGGCGGGGGACACCCCACCGGGCACACUUGGUGAAUAAAUGAAUGCAGUGAAAC
rnacentral:lncRNA from 1 species